rnacentral:rRNA from 1 species
AGGGUUUGAUUAUGGCUCAGGAUUAACGCUGGCGGUGUGCCUUAUACAUGCAAGUCGAACGAGGCUUCGAGCCGAGUGGCAAACGGGUGAGUAACACGUAGGUAACCUACCCUCAAGUGGGGAACAACUUGCCGAAAGGUGAGCUAAUACCGCAUGUACUCCUGUGGUGCAAUUCCACAUGAGUAAAGAUUUAUCGCUAGAGGAGGGGCCUGCGCCUGAUUAGUUUGUUGGUGGGCAGUUAAUCGUGCUCACCACAAGGCUGUGAUAUCAGAUAAGCUGGACUGAGAGGUUGACCAGCCACACUGGAACUGGAGACACGGGACCAGAUCUCCUACGGGAGGCAGCCAGGUAGGGAAAUCUUCCACAAUGGGCGCCAAGGCUGAUGGAGCCAACGCCGCGGUGCAGGAUGACGGCCCUCGGGUUGUAAACUGCCUUUUCUGUGUGAACGAAUAUUCGGAACGGUAGCACCAGGAAAUAAGCGUCGGCUAACUACCGUGCCAGCAGCCGCGGUAAUACGUAGGACCGCAAGCGUUAUCCGGAUUUACUGGGUUUAAAGCGUACGUAGGUUGUACGGUAAGUCUAUGAUUAAAGACCACGGCUUACCCAUGGGAAUGUUGUAGAUACUGCCAUACUCGAGGUCAGACGGGGGAGAUGGAAUUCCCGGUGUAGGGGUAAAAUCCGUUGAUAUCGGGAGGAACACCAGAGGCGAAAGCGAUCUCCUAGACUGAUUCUGACGCUGAGGUACGAAAGUCAGGGGAGCGAAGCGGAUUAGAUACCCGCGUAGUCCUGGCCCUAAACGAUGGAUGCUAGGCGUUGAAGGUAUCGACCCCUUCAGUGUCGCAGGGAAACCGGUAAGCAUCCCGCCUGGGGAGUACGGCCGCAAGGUUAAAACUCAAAGGAAUUGACGGGGACCCGCACAAGCAGCGGAGCGUGUGGCUUAAUACGACGCUACGCGUAGAACCUUACCAGGACUUGACAUCCGACUAAAACCUAUGAAAGUAGGUGUGUUCUUUUAGAACGAGUCGUGACAGGUGUUGCAUGGCUGUCGUCAGCUCGUGCCGUGAGGUGUAGGGUUAAGUCCCGUUACGAGCGCAACCUCCUUUUGUAUGUUGUAUUCUUUCAUGCAAGACUGCCAGGGAUAACCUGGAGGAAGGCGGGGAUGAGGUCAAGUCAGAUACGGCCCUUAUGUCCUGGGCUGCACCCACGCUACAAUGGCCGGUGCACACGAGCGGGUUUUUGCCAAGCCGCGAGGCGGAGCUAAUCUCAACAAAGCCGGUCUCAGUACGGAUUGGAGUCUGCAACUCGACUCCAUGAAGCUGGAGUUGCUAGUAAUUGCCGGUCAGCCAUACGGCAGUGAAUAUGUUCCCGGGUCUUGUACACACCGCCCGUCACACCACGAAAGUUGGCAACACCCGAAGUCGCUGCGCCGACCGCAAGGAAGCAGGCGCCUAAGGUGGGGCUGAUGAUUGGGGUGAAGUCGUAACAAGGUAGCC